GGAUUUUGCUGAUGGAAGAAGUCAAAUUAAGAAAUGAGCAAACAGCCCCUUUGAUGAUAAGGAAGGCUGAAAUGUUGCAUGCGGAGCACCCAUGGGGAUCAUUCCUUGCCCGGGGUGGGGAGCAGGCCCUACAAUGAGCUGACACGACCCGGAGCAGCACUCCAGAUGUGUUGGUGGCGCUGGGGAGCACCUGUGGCUACCUAUCCCACUGCAGCUGCACUGCUGGGGUCAGCCCUGUCCUCUGCUGCCACAGCCCUUGAAACGAGGAGAGCAGCACCUGCAAGUCAGUGAUCACUCAUAGAGAGGUGUGCCCGGGUGUUCUGUUUGCUGCUGGGAUGUUCCCCAGGCAAGGAAUUGCUCCAUCAUCUCCAGGCUGUUGCUCCCUGUUGGCCAAGUGGACUCCGCAGCCCAGAACUAUGCUCACACCAUCCCUCUGGACAUCCCUACCCCCAGGAGCCCAGGGGUACCAGCAACUCAGAAGAACCAGAUGCCUAAUUGCUCUGGAUCUAUCCAUUUGGAAGGACAGGCACAAGCAGCUCUGUAGCUAGCCAAGGAAGGAUGCCUGCAGGCUUCAUUUGCAGGAACAGAAACAGAUUUCGGAUGGGAUGGAG
ensembl:lncRNA